rnacentral:rRNA from 1 species
CAGUCGCCACGGUAAUACGUAGGUCCCGGGCGUUGUCCGGAUUUAUUGGGCGUAAAGCGAGCGCAGGCGGUUAGAUAAGUCUGAAGUUAAAGGCUGUGGCUUAACCAUAGUACGCUUUGGAAACUGUUUAACUUGAGUGCAAGAGGGGAGAGUGGAAUUCCAUGUGUAGCGGUGAGAUGCGUAGAUAUAUGGAGGAACACCGGUGGCGAAAGCGGCUCUCUGGCUUGUAACUGACGCUGAGGCUCGAAAGCGUGGGGAGCAAACAGGAUUAGAUACCCGGGUAGUCCCUGUCUCUUAUACA